ensembl:ncRNA ZC64.15 ncRNA
CUCAACUCUUACGUGACGCCUCUAUUUGCAUACGCGGCUGACGGUUGGCAAAUUGUGCAACUGUUUGGAAGAAUGGGGAAAAUGAGAAAACGACUCUCGGCGCC